rnacentral:rRNA from 1 species
GAGUUUGAUCCUGGCUCAGGACGAACGCUGGCGGCGUGCCUAAUACAUGCAAGUCGAGCGAGCUGAAUUCAAAGAUUCCUUCGGGAUGAUUUGUUGGACGCUAGCGGCGGAUGGGUGAGUAACACGUGGGCAAUCUGCCCUAAAGACUGGGAUACCACUUGGAAACAGGUGCUAAUACCGGAUAACAACAUGAAUCGCAUGAUUCAAGUUUGAAAGGCGGCGCAAGCUGUCACUUUAGGAUGAGCCUGCGGCGCAUUAGCUAGUUGGUGGGGUAAAGGCCUACCAAGGCAAUGAUGCGUAGCCGAGUUGAGAGACUGAUCGGCCACAUUGGGACUGAGACACGGCCCAAACUCCUACGGGAGGCAGCAGUAGGGAAUCUUCCACAAUGGACGCAAGUCUGAUGGAGCAACGCCGCGUGAGUGAAGAAGGUUUUCGGAUCGUAAAGCUCUGUUGUUGGUGAAGAAGGAUAGAGGCAGUAACUGGUCUUUAUUUGACGGUAAUCAACCAGAAAGUCACGGCUAACUACGUGCCAGCAGCCGCGGUAAUACGUAGGUGGCAAGCGUUAUCCGGAUUUAUUGGGCGUAAAGCGAGCGCAGGCGGAAUGAUAAGUCUGAUGUGAAAGCCCACGGCUCAACCGUGGAACUGCAUCGGAAACUGUCAUUCUUGAGUGCAGAAGAGGAGAGUGGAACUCCAUGUGUAGCGGUGAAAUGCGUAGA